rnacentral:lncRNA from 1 species
CUGUCCAGGUAGCUCUCAAAACCAGUAUCGCUAAGAAUGGUGUCAUUUUCAGAUACUGAUGAUUUCCCCCUUAGUCUCAUGAGGAACAAGUGUGAAGCAAUACUUGAUGAGCACUUAAAACAUUCAUACUUAACAAGGUCUUAAGUAUGUAUAGAGAAAAGAGCUUUCCCAGAGAUAAGCAGGUAGGAACAAUGAGGGAAUAGAAGAGACCCAAACAGCUUAAGACUGUAACAAUUAGGUCCUCAAAUCUCUUUCUAGCAAACAUCAUUCUCAUGCCACCCAAUUUGAAGAGCAAUAGGAAGAUGUUCAGAUUCAAUGCAGACAUCAGAAUCUAAACCCCAGGAGUUUCCUUUUGAACAUCAUUUGGGGGCAGGGGAUGCAGAAAAGCCUAAAUUAGUAAACUCACAGUAAUUGUGAUUUUUUUUUAAUACAAUGAGUUUAUAAUUCUUAAAUCGGGAGGUAGGUGCAUGAGCAUUUGU